UACGAAGGGAGCUAGCGUUGUUCGGAAUCACUGGGCGUAAAGCGCACGUAGGCGGAUGUGUCAGUCAGAGGUGAAAUCCCGGAGCUCAACUUCGGAACUGCCUUUGAUACAGCACGUCUUGAGUCCGAUAGAGGUGGGUGGAAUUCCUAGUGUAGAGGUGAAAUUCGUAGAUAUUAGGAAGAACACCGGUGGCGAAGGCGGCCCACUGGAGCGGUACUGACGCUGAGGUGCGAAAGCGUGGGGAGCAAACAGG
rnacentral:rRNA from 1 species